rnacentral:rRNA from 1 species
AUACCCUAUUAUUUUAAGCUAUAUAUUGGUAGUAAUUAAUAAUUUAUGAAAUCAUAAGAUUUUGGCGGUAUUUUAAGCUUAUUAGAGGAAUUUGCUCUGUAAUGGAUACAACGCCUUAAUCUUACUUAAUUUGGUUUUAAAGUCAGUUUGUAUACCACUAUAUUUAAUUAUAUUGAAUAAUUAUAUUUAAGAUUUUUUUUUUAUAAAAAAUAUAUUAAGUCAAGGUGCAAUUUAUAAUUAUGAAUGAAGUGAAUUACAUUAAUUUUAAUUUUACUUAAAUAUUGAAAAAAAAUUAUAGGAUUUAAUAGUAAAAUGUUAAUAUUAUG